rnacentral:rRNA from 1 species
UAGGGAAUCUUCCACAAUGGACGAAAGUCUGAUGGAGCAACGCCGCGUGAGUGAAGAAGGGUUUCGGCUCGUAAACUCUGUUGUUAAAGAAGAACAUAUCUGAGAGUAACUGUUCAGGUACUGACGGUAUUUAACCAGAAAGCCACGGCUAACUACGUGCCAG